GAUGAACGCUGGCGGCGUGCCUAAUACAUGCAAGUCUAGCGAAUGGAUUAAGAGCUUGCUCUUAUGAAGUUCGCGGCUGACGGGUGAGUAACACGUGGGUAACCUGCCCAUAAGACUGGGAUAACUCCGGGAAACCUGAGCUAAUAACGGAUAACAUCUUUAUCCGCAUCGGUCGAAAGUGACAGGCGUCUUCGGCUGUCAUUCAUUGAUAGUCCCGCGGCGCAUUAGCUAGGUGGUUAGGUAACGGCGCACCAAGGCAACGAUGCGUAGCCGACGUGAGAGGGUGAUCGGCCACACUGGGACUGAAACACGGCCCAGACCCCAACGGGAGGCAGCAGUAGGGAAACUUCCGAAAUGGACGGAAGGCUGACGGGGCAACGCCGCGUGAGUGAUGAAGGCUUUCGGGUCGUAAAACUCUGUUGUUUGGGAAGAACAAGUACUAGUUGAAUAAGCUGGCACCUUGACGGUACCUAACCAGAAAGCCACGGCUAACUACGUGCCAGCAGCCGCCGUAA
rnacentral:rRNA from 1 species